GGGCGCUUAGCUCAGGGGUAGAGCGCUCGCUUCGCACCCCCAGUUUGACUGCGAGAGGUCGUGGGUUCAAUUCCCACAGUGUCCA